rnacentral:tRNA from 1 species
AGGGCUUUAGUUUAAUUAAAACUUUUGAUUUGCAAUUAAAGAAUGUGAAGUAAUAUUUACAAGUCCUA